UAGGGAAUCUUCCGCAAUGGGCGAUAGCCUGACGGAGCAACGCCGCGUGAGUGAUGAAGGUCUUCGGAUCGUAAAACUCUGUUAUUAGGGAAGAACAAAUGUGUAAGUAACUAUGCACGUCUUGACGGUACCUAAUCAGAAAGCCACGGCUAACUACGUGCCAGCAGCCGCGGUAAUACGUAGGUGGCAAGCGUUAUCCGGAAUUAUUGGGCGUAAAGCGCGCGUAGGCGGUUUUUUAAGUCUGAUGUGAAAGCCCACGGCUCAACCGUGGAGGGUCAUUGGAAACUGGAAAACUUGAGUGCAGAAGAGGAAAGUGGAAUUCCAUGUGUAGCGGUGAAAUGCGCAGAGAUAUGGAGGAACACCAGUGGCGAAGGCGACUUUCUGGUCUGUAACUGACGCUGAUGUGCGAAAGCGUGGGGAUCAAACAGG
rnacentral:rRNA from 1 species